AUCAGGCAGGAUUACCCGCUGAACUUAAGCAUAUCAAUAAGCGGAGGAAAAGAAACUAACAAGGAUUCCCCUAGUAACGGCGAGUGAAGCGGGAAGAGCUCAAAUUUGUAAUCUGGCACUUUCAGUGUCCGAGUUGUAAUCUCGAGAAGUAUUUUCCGCGCCGGACUGCAUACAAGUCUGUUGGAAUACAGCGUCAUAGUGGUGAGAACCCCGUAACUGAUGCAGAUGCCCGGUGCUUUGUGAUAUACUUUCGAAGAGUCGAGUUGUUUGGGAAUGCAGCUCAAAUUGGGUGGUAAAUUCCAUCUAAAGCUAAAUAUUGGAGCAAGACCGAUAGCGAACAAGUACCGUGAGGGAAAGAUGAAAAGCACUUUGGAAAGAGAGUUAACAGUACGUGAAAUUGUUGGAAGGGAAACGCUUGAAGUCAGACUUGCUAUUCGGAGUUCAGCCGCAAGGUGUAUUCUUCGAUUUGCAGGCCAGCAUCAGUUUUCGGGGGUGGAAAAUCGUGGUUUGAAGGUAGCAACUUCGGUUGUGUUAUAGCUUUCCACUGGAUUCAUCUUUGGGGACUGAGGAACGCAGUACGCUUUUUGCAAGGCCCUCGGGCUUUUCGUACUUAGGAUGCUGGUGGAAUGGCUUUAAACGACCCGUCUUGAAACACGG
rnacentral:rRNA from 1 species